AUUAUUUGUCUUCUCUUUUUGAUGAUAACUAUUCCAACAGGUGUGAGGUGAUAUCUCAUUGUGGGUUUGAUUUGCAUUUCUCUGUUGAUUAGUGAUGAUGAGCAUCUUUUCAUAUGCCUGUUGGCCAUCUGUAUGUCUUUGGAGUGCUACUGGCUCUGAUUAACAUUUUAUAACUUUAGUGAAUGAAAAUGGAUAUCUUUAAUGGACUUAGUUUGAACAGGCCCUUCUUUUACCUAUGAGACACACAGGAGGUGCAGUGGCUUGCCCAUCUUAGUCUGUGAGACUGAACAUGGACAGGGCUUCUCCAGUGCAUCAUCAGUUAAGAAUUCACCUGCAAUGCAGGAGAUUCAGGAGACACAGAUUUGAUCCCUGGCUUGGGAAGAGCCCUUGAAGGAGGAAAUGGCAACCAACUCCAGUAUUCUUGCCUAGAGAAUCCCAUGGACAGGAGUCUGAUGGGCUACACUGCAUGGGGUCACAGAGUUGGACAUGGCUGAGUGACUGAGUACAGUGCAACAUGUUGUGAUUUAUAUUAAUGCAUUCUAUUCACUCAUGGCCAAACAGCCAGAGUAAAUUUGCUACUGUAAUGUGUUUAAAUAAUAACAACCAGACUGUAGAGAAGAACACAGGAUAACCACCAUUUUCACACUCCUCUCACAGGAAGACAAUGAUGUGAAGACAACAUCCUGGUCAAAUUCUUGGGAGAGGAAGCUCAAAAACAUAAAAUGAUAGAGUUACCAACUUUUGCCCUAUAAUUAGUGGUAAUCUAAUUGAUAUGUCAGAAUAAAGGUCAGGGAAAUGAAUAAACAUGUCUAGGUAACAAUAAUGUAACACUGAUAUUAAAAAUGCAGAUGUGCCCUGACAUAAUAUUAUUUACUGAGGACUUUGCAUCACACCGAAUUUCUUGUCAAAUGUUUAGUUUUUCCUUUGAUGACUUGCUUGCUUAAUGUAUAAUCACAGAUCUUGUUUCUAACACACCUUUAAGCAAUAUCAUGACGUGAUCAUUUUCCUACAGUAACUGGGGUUGCAGGAGUUCAAAAUGUUUUGGGAAUGAAUGACUAGGCAUCCAAGUGACAACAUAUAUUACCUAAUUUUAAAUAAUAUGGUAGAGAUUUAAUCUGUCUAAGUUUAGGGGAAGCUCUGAUUAAUGUCUUUAUCAUUUGAGCACUGAAAUGAAUGGUUAUGUCAUUUACUUAUAUCUCAAAAGCAAUGUUCUUUCACAUGAUUAAGCUGCAGCCUUUUAAAACAAAGACUCAUUUCCCUCUUAUGUGCGUCAUAAUUGGGCUAGUUCUUCUGUGGUAUCUCUUAUAUUAAUAAGAAAUUCUCAUUUUAUGCAAAGAGAUGAUGAUGACCGUAAAGAGGAAGUGAAGAGUCUUCUGCUGCUAUUUUAAUUUAAAUUACUAACUGAGAAGACAAAGAUGACAGCCUAUAACCUCAUCAAUUCUCUUGCCUUGUAGCAUGCAUUUGAAUCUAGUAUUUUACAGACUUGUUCAUUUAUUCAGCAAACAUUUACUGGAGGCCUAUCAUGUAGAGGCACUAUUAUAGGUGUUGGUGUUUUGGUAGUGAAUGCAAUAAAACCCUUUCUUUAGCAUAGCAUACAGUCAAAGAGAGGAGACAGGGAGUAAGCGAAUAGACACAUAAUAUACUUCCAGAUUGGUUUUUGGUGCUAAGAAACAAAUUAAAGCAGAAUGGAGCUGGAGAAUGGAGAGGUCGUGGGCACUAUUUCGUGGUAGAAUGAGGAAAAAAAUCUUUGAGGAUAUGAGAUUUAAGUUGAGACCUGAAGAAUGGCAUUCUUUGAGAAAUGUUAAAACAGCUUUAAUUCAACAGCUCCUUUAAAUAAAUUUACAUUUUAUAAAUUUCAAUAGCAUCUAUACAUAUUUGGAAGUGGGGAGUAAUAUAUAUUCACAAGGUAUUGUUUGGAGCACUAAUAGAUUUGAGGAUUCUUAUGAUAACUGCACCCCCAGUCCUUCCUUUAGGGCUCCAAAGCGAGAAGCAUGCCUCUAGAUUAACCCCUUGUGCCAGGUCCCAUCCUCAUACUCCAUAAUGUGCAUUUCUUUUCUAAAGUGCUCAAAUGUGCCAUCUUCAUUAUUUGUUCAAGUUCAUUAUUCUCCUUACUCAAAAUGCCAGCGUUUCCCCACAGUUUCUUCCUGUCUAAAUCCUUUCCAUCAAGGCCUAAACUACCCUAAAGUUUCUCUAGCAAUAGGUCGUAUCGCUAGAAAAAAAAUAUGUACUUUUCCGAACUUGGUCCUGCCUCGCUUUGUCCACUAGUAUUUCACAUAUUUAAUUUAUACUCUCCAGGUUUGUAGGCAACAAACAUAAUUUGUAUUUCUUGACCAGAUUCAAUAACUAUGUUGAUGGUUCUGAGCAUACGUAAAUUCAGAAAAUACUUGGCGGUUCACCUGCAGUGAGGCCAGCAGACCCCUCCUGUACACAGGCGUGGGGUUGGACCCCACCAUUGGCUGCUCCCUGGCCGGCCAGGCCAACCAGCACAGCUGGGCAUUGUCUGAUGCCAGGGAGAAAUAGCUGAAGGAAUGUUGCACUUUCUACAUUCUUUUGGGCAGGUGCAACAGAGGAGAGCGAAGCCCCUGCCUCAGGAGAUUUGCAGUAAUCGUCACUGUCGCUACAGUCACAUCUGCAAAUCCCUCAAGGCGACCUGGAGGCAAAUCCCUGGAGCGACCUCUUCAAAGGUUGCUGUCCACUGGGCAUGAAGCUCAAGAGUAAACCCAUACCUCUGUGCCCUGACUUCUCUCUCAGGGGCCCCUGGGGUGCCCAGAAAUAAGAAAUGGA